rnacentral:rRNA from 1 species
CGUCUAUAUACGUAUAGCAUAUCAAUAAGCGGAGGAAAAGAAACUAACAAGGAUUCCCUUAGUAACGGCGAGUGAAGCGGGAAGAGCUCAAAUUUGAAAUCUUCAAGGUUCUACCUUGACGAAUUGUAGUUUAAAGAAGUGUUUUCUGUUAGAGGAGUAGCAAAAGUUCCUUGGAAUGGGACAUCAUAGAGGGUGAGAAUCCCGUAUUUGGUCAUUCUUUCUAGCUUUGUGAUACACUUUCAAAGAGUCGGAUUGUUUGGGAAUGCAGUCCAAAAUGGGUGGUAAAUUUCAUCUAAAGCUAAAUAUUGGCGAUGAGACCGAUAGCGAACAAGUACCGUGAGGGAAAGAUGAAAAGAACUUUGAAAAGAGAGUUAAACAGUACGUGAAAUUGUCAAAAGGGAAGCGUUUGACACCAGUGUUGUUUUUCCGAAAAUCAAUUAAGAGUGGCUUGAUUUUGUGUUGUAUUGACCUUAUCAGCUUUUCUUCACUCUUUUUCGAGUCUUUCUUAAUGCACUUUUCGGUUAACAAGUCAACAUCAAUUUCUUUUGUUGUAAAAGGGUAUUUGGAAGGUGGCCUUUCUUUUCGGAGAAAGUGUUUAUAGCCUUAUACCUCUACAAUCGGAGAGAUUGAGGUCUGCAGCGUAGAUCCUUCGGGGCUAGAUACACUUGUGCUAAGUUAUAGCCUUUUCAUAGACAACUUGUUGACUAUGUUUAGUCAUGUAGCUUACCCGCUUGUGCUAUUUUACCUACGCUUAGGAUGUUGAGUCAUCACACAUCUCU